rnacentral:rRNA from 1 species
UACGUAGGGUGCGAGCGUUAAUCGGAAUUACUGGGCGUAAAGCGUGCGCAGGCGGUUUUGUAAGCCAGGUGUUAAAUCCCCGGGCUCAACCUGGGAAUGGCAUUGGAUACUGGCUCGCUAGAGUGCGGUAGAGGGUGGUGGAAUUCCCGGUGUAGCAGUGAAAUGCGUAGAGAUCGGGAGGAACAUCUGUGGCGAAGGCGGCCACCUGGACCAACACUGACACUGAGGCACGAAAGCGUGGGGAGCAAACAGG